rnacentral:rRNA from 1 species
GACGAACGCUGGCGGCGUGCUUAACACAUGCAAGUCGAACGAUGAAGCUGGAGCUUGCUCCGGUGGAUUAGUGGCGAACGGGUGAGUAACACGUGAGUAAUCUGCCCUUGACUCUGGGAUAACUGCGGGAAACUGUAGCUAAUACCGGAUACGACACCUUCGGGCAUCCGAUGGGUGUGGAAAGAAUUUCGGUCAAGGAUGAACUCGCGGCCUAUCAGCUAGUUGGUGAGGUAAUGGCUCACCAAGGCGACGACGGGUAGCCGGCCUGAGAGGGUAGCCGGCCACACGGGGACUGAGACACGGCCCAGACUCCUACAGGAGGCAGCAGUGGGGAAUAUUGCACAAUGGGCGAAAGCCUGAUGCAGCAACGCCGCGUGAGGGAUGAAGGCCUUCGGGUUGUAAACCUCUUUUAGUUGGGAAGAAGCGAAAGUGACGGUACCAACAGAAAAAGCACCGGCUAACUACGUGCCAGCCGCCGCCGUAA